AGAGCUUGCUUUUCAUUGAACUAGUGGCAGACGGGUGAGUAAUACAUGGGAAUCUACCUUGUAGUAGGGGAUGAUCACUAGAAAUGGUUGAUUAAUACCUUAUAUUGCCGAUAGGUGAAAGAUUUAUCGCUACAAGAUGAGCCCAUGCAAGAUUAGCUAGUUGGUAAGGUAAUGGCUUACCAAGGCUUCGAUCUUUAGUUGGUCUAAGAGGAUGAUCAGCCACACUGGAACUGAGACACGGUCCAGACUCC
rnacentral:rRNA from 1 species